CCGGCGGAAGUUGUGCUUCGUUCCGCUCUGUAUCAACAAGGUGCUACCGUGACACAGAAAAGAGCAAAAUGAAUGUAUCAGAAAGUCGACAAGAGCCGGUGUGAACCCUCUGAGGAGUCACAGCGACCCCUGUGGAGUAACGGAGACCCCUGAGGAGUCACUGUCAUCUGUGAAAAGAUGAGCCUGAAACAGUGGAAAAAACUCAGUCGGCCUCAGUCGUGUCUAGACAACAGGAAAUGCAAAAUUGCAUUUGUUUACAGCCACAUGCUGCUGAAGGCAGUUGGUGGUGGUUCAGCGGCAGCAGCAGCAGUGAGGAGGGCGGAUGUUUCUGCCUGUGAGGCUCAGCCCGAGACAAAGAGCUACCUGUGGUCACGCUGCUGUGAAUGUGAAAAGACUUUUCACUUUGAUCAGAGCCGUUCCAUUCACAUUCAACAUUCACAGAAGUUUCUGGUAAUUGUUUCUGAUAGAAGAGGAAGAAAAAGUAGAAGACAAAGGGAGAGAAAAAGGAGCUCCUGCUGCUGCAUUCAACACCAGCGCCGCUGUGUUUUAUACCAACCUGAGUCUGAAGACGUCAGUCCUGCUGGACUUCCUGUGAGUCACCCGUCUGCAGCCUGGAGCGAAUCACAGAUAUUUAUCAUGCAAGAUGGCACACAUUCCCAGGCUUACAGUCCGACUGCUGCUGC